ACGUCUCAAAGAAAUCAUCUGCAGAGAGAGACCAGCUACAGAACAGUUACAACAACCUGACUAAAGGGAGAGACCAGCUACAGACUGAGAGAGAUUUUCUUAGCGGGUGGCUUACCAAUUGCAGCUGGCAGAAGUUUGAAUCCAGUUGGUACUUCCUGUCUACUGAGACUAAAACCUGGAAUGAGAGCAGAGAGGACUGUCUGAAGAGAGGAGCAGACCUGGUGAUCAUAAACAGCAAUAAGGAACAGACAUUUCUCUUCAACCUCAAGAAGAGAGUCUGGAUUGGUCUGACUGACUCUGUUAAUGAGGGGACCUGGAAAUGGGUGGACGGCACCCCACUGACCACAGGGUGAGAGAUGAUAACUAAUCUGUCAAUAAGGCUCCAUUCAACCUUUUUCUAUACAGG